CUAUGUGUCUGUGUGCUUGCGUGUCUGUCACUGUGUCCGUGCGUCCGUGUGUCUGUGCAUAUGUGUGUCUGUGUACGUACACAGCUGAUCCUCUGGACACCGAGGAGGAGACACAGUGGGGAUUCUGGAUCCAGCAGGCUCCCUUCUUUGCAUCUCUCAAGCCUCCAACAACCCCCUUAGCGUCCGCCCAUGGUGUAAGAGGAGGCCGUCUGGAGUCCUAGGUGAUUCAGAGACUGGAAACCACCCCGCGGGGCCCCUGGAGGAACAAAAACCAGUUCCCAGCAAGUGCAGGUAAACCUGAGACGUGCCCUCAACCGCUGGCUUCUGCCACUGCUUUACUGGGUCAGCCAUGACCCAGUCAACAAGCUGCUACCUGAAGAGCAUUGACAGACUUGGGCCAUUCCCCUCCGUGGCGGGUGCUGCCGUCUUCCUGUCCACGUGAGUCCAGGGCCCUGCGGUGUGUGGGAGCAGCCAGGAGGGGCGGCUCAGCAGGACUGAGAUGAGAGACUAUCAGGUGUCCUGGGCGCGUUCUCACCAACAGCAGGUUCCCUUCCGUCCCCGCAUCUUCCCUCACCACCAAGCCCCUGUGCAGAGCCCAGACCCCACAAAGGCCCACCAGUCAUCACUGUCCACACGUGCAUCCGACGUGUAAGGUGGUGGGGACGAUGCUCAGACAGACGAGAAACCCCAGGGUCAGCCAGGCCGGCCUGUCCCACCUGAGCUGGGCGGAGACACCAAUGUCACCCCUCUUGCAGCCCCCAAAGCUUGCUCUCUGGCCGACAGCUGGCUUUUGAGCCAGAAGAUUGGUAACCCUGUUAGGAUCUGGCAGACCCGCCAGGGUGGCUCCCAACUCACCCACGUCCCGCCCUGAGGUCCUCUCCUCCCUCCCCACCCUGUGGCUACAUGGACUCUCCAUCCUGGAACACCGGGUACACACCUGACUCGCCUUUGCCUCGCCGUUCCCUCUGCCUGCGAUGCUGUUCCCCGGGCCACGCAGGCCUCCCUCGCUCCUGGCCUCCUCCAGUCUUUUCUCGGGGUCUUCUCAGCAAGGCCCCUCUGACAACCCCCUUCACUUUCCUAACCAGCACCCAGCAGCCUGUCUCCUCGUCUCUUACUGGAAUGUGUGUUCGCACGGCAGGGAUUUCCCCGCUGCUUUGCUGCGAUGGAUCCCCAGCGCCUGGAACUACUCUGGAGCCUUCGGUGUGGGGAUGAGGAAUUCUACUUCUAGGGCCCUGCCCUGGAGACAUAACGAACUGGUGGGGAAGAGUUUCAUCAUUUCAAAUGUUUGGCUGUGGUUUCUGUGACCUGUGGGUCUGGUUCCUCCACGGACGGAGCAGAUGUCAGCGGCCUUUGACUGGAGAAGGUCCUGGGUCUUGCAGGCUUCAGAGGCUUCUUGGUUUAUGUCGUGCCAAGAAAGCCGUGGCUGGGAACAGUUCCCUCCCUCGGUGUCUGCCUGUGGGGGCUCCCAGGAGUUUCUGGGCAGCCUCACCCCGCACUGCACUGGCCUCAGAGUCGGGCCUUCACUGACCAAGUCCCCGCCUCCUGCUGUCUUCACUGGUGCUGUUCUUUAUCUAUCUUUGGGUUCCUUUUAGUAUUUUUCCCCAAAUUUUCAGAUGAUGUGUCUGGUUGAUUGAAUGUGAGCCUUUCUUUCUUUCUAGGUAAAUGAUUCUGGUCUUCCUGGUGUGGUCGAGUCUUGCAGGUGCAGUGUGGGGGCAGCCAUGUGCCUUCCCUGGAGUGAGGAGUCCGAGCUCUCCUCUGUCUGUGCUCACGAUGGGGUCUGUGCUCCCCCAUGUCCUGCCCAGCAGAGACGGGGCCUCCUGCUCUCCACUCCCCCGUGUCCUGCCCAGCAGAGACGGGGCCUCCAGUGCUCCACUCCCACCCCCCAGCUCCUUCAGCGUGGACACAUCUCACCGUUACCCCGGAAUCCGUUCACAGUCACUGAGACGUGGCCGGCAGCUUUGCCGCCUUUGUGUUGGUUUUUGUCAACAUGCUGUUCUGUGUCCCACGCCAGCUGAGAGGCCCGUGGGGGUGGCUGGUGGGGGGAAGCUUGGCCUGCAGCCAUCAGGUUUGUGGAACAGUGUUGCAGCAGCCCCAGAAAACGAAUGCAUAUUUCUGCACCUUUUAAGAGCAAAGACAGGCUGGGCGCAGAGGCUCAUGCCUGGAAUCCCAGCACUUCAGGAGGCCGAGGCAGGUGGAUCACCCAAGUGUUCAGGUAGCCACAACUUGACCAUGGGGACACCUUGAACUGGCACUACCUCCUGUCUGCACCCAAGUCCCCACCAGCCUGUCCCUUUGACGACUCUGGGGUGGGUGUGGCAGGGACUGGGCAGAAGUGAGACUUUGACCUGGUGGGUGCACACGCAUAGGUGUAAAUCUAGCUCCAACAUCUUACAUGAGAAUGAUUUGAAUUCAAAUUCUUGAAUGGCCCACUCUGGAAUGUCAUCCCUCCUGUUAAUAAUUUCAUGACCAAUGCCAUUCUUUGUUUAGCUGAA